CCGCGGGACCCGGGGCUGUG
rnacentral:miRNA from 1 species